rnacentral:miRNA from 1 species
UGAGACCAGGACUGGAUGCACC